AUGGAGGACGGCACUGUGGGUGUCCAGUGUGAGAUGCAGCUGGUGGAGUCUGGAAGAGGCCUGGUGAAGCCUGGAGGGUCCCUGAGACUCUCCUGUGCAGCCUCCGGAUUCACCUUAAGUAGUUCCUACAUGAGCUGGGUCCGCCAGGCUCCAGGAAAGGGGCUGGAGUGGGUUGCAUAUAUUAAAAGUGGUGGAAGCACAUACUAUGCAGACUCCUUGAAGGGCCGAUUCACCAUCUCCAGAGACAACGCCAAGAACACGCUGUAUCUGCAGAUGGACAACCUGAGAGUCGAAGACACGGCCACGUAUUUCUGUGGGAGAGACACGGGAUAUAAUUAA